rnacentral:lncRNA from 1 species
UUCUUCCUCUCUUUCUAAACCAACCAUGGAUUGGUUUGAAGAAAGCUCUUGAUGAUAGUGCAGUUUUGAGCUGAGAAGGAGCUUUAGGAGCAGGGAAGCAACCUAUUGAAGCUGAGACUUGAGUUAGGUUUGCUGUUUUUGGUUAGGCUUAUGAUGUCUACUUUAUAAAGGAUUGAGUUUUGGAUCUAUUAGAGAUUAGAACUUGCUAUUAGCAUGUAAUUCUCUGAAGAAACUUAGUAGAACUGUGUGAAUUCAGUUGGUAGCUGAAAUUUAAGGCUAGGAAAGGUGAAUUCCUAGUUAGAGUGAUGUUAUUUACUUUAUAAAAAGAGUGAAACAAUGGAAUUCUUGAUUAUUAGAGCUUCUAAUUGCUAUAGAGCCUAUUUGUCAUGAAAGAAUUUAGAGAAAAUUAUAUGCUGACAGCAUAUAGGAGUUUAAAUUGCUAUGUAGAAAGUUGGGAAUUGCACUAUGGACAGCUUAUAUAUGGAUGUUAGCAGCUGAGAAGUAACUUGUUGAAACCUGAAACCUGAGAUAAGUUUGUGAGAUCUCUUUGUUAGGGAUUAUUGUGACUACUCUAAAGAGGAUUUAGUUUGGGUUUAUUGGGCUACUAAGGCUUGAAGUUGCCAUAAAAAUCAUAGAAAAGCUAUGUGUAUCAUGUAUGAAGGUUGGCAGCUGGGAGUAAAGCAAGUAUCCUGCAGAUUUUUGGUUAGGAAUUGAUGUAAAUCCUCUAAACUAUUUAGUUUUGAGGUUCUUGGGUUAUUAAGAUUUGGAUUAAUCUAUAGGUUCUUAUAGAACCUGUAAAGAAACAAUUUUUAUUAAGCUAAAGCUUAAAAAUGCAAUCUUGUAGGAUUGAAGGCCUAGUUUGGAAUUGAUCGCGUAGAAACCUAAUUGGGGAUAAAACCGACGCGUUGGAAAGCUCGAAUCGGCGUUCCGACGAGCUUAUGGCAAGCUAGUGAGGAAAAAACCUCAUUUUAGUUUCGUUUGUAGCAAGUGAAGAUUUGGAUCAUUCAUAAAUCGCGGGAAGUGGUUUUCUCGCAUCUCGGC